rnacentral:lncRNA from 1 species
UGAUGCUUGUAUUAGAUCAUCCAAUAUAUUGUGUAGAUUUUAACUGCUCUUGCAAAAGGAAGAAAGAGAGCUUGACAGAAUUUUCCGUUUGUAGGGUCAACCUGUUGCGCUGAAAGCUUUAUUGUCAGAGGAGAAGGCUGUACUUAAAGCCGGUUAUGAGAAAGUGCUUGAAUCGUUGCACACGAAGGUGAAAAAGGCUAAUUCAAUUUGUUCUGCAUCUUCAUGUGUCUUGACAACAAUAUCUGCUUGCCCAGCCACUCCCCAAUCCCCGCC